rnacentral:rRNA from 1 species
AACGAACGCUGGCGGCAGGCCUAACACAUGCAAGUCGAGCGAGAUUUUCGGAUCUAGCGGCGGACGGGUGAGUAACGCGUGGGAACGUGCCCUUUGCUUCGGAAUAGCCCCGGGAAACUGGGAGUAAUACCGGAUGAGCCCUACGGGGGAAAGAUUUAUCGGCAAAGGAUCGGCCCGCGUUGGAUUAGGUAGUUGGUGGGGUAAUGGCCUACCAAGCCGACGAUCCAUAGCUGGUUUGAGAGGAUGAUCAGCCACACUGGGACUGAGACACGGCCCAGACUCCUACGGGAGGCAGCAGUGGGGAAUCUUAGACAAUGGGGGAAACCCUGAUCUAGCCAUGCCGCGUGAGCGAUGAAGGCCUUAGGGUUGUAAAGCUCUUUCAGCUGGGAAGAUAAUGAC